AAAAGGCUUAGCAGGAGGCUGCCUGUUUACAGGUACAGUAGUCAGUCCACCACCAAAAGGCUUAGCAGGAGGCUGCCUGUUUACAGGUACAGUAGUCAGUCCACCACCAAAAGGCUUGGCAGGAGGCUGCCUGUUUACAGGUACAGUAGUCAGUCCACCACCAAUAGGCUUGGCAGGAGGCUGCCUGUUUACAGGAACAGUAGUCAGUCCACCACCAAUAGGCUUGGCAGGAGGCUGCCUGUUUACAGGAACAGUAGUCAGUCCACCACCAAUAGGCUUGGCAGGAGGCUGCCUGUUUACAGGUGCAGUAGUCAGUCUACCACCAAAAGGCUUGGCAGGAGGCUGCCUGUUUACAGGUGCAGUAGUCAGUCCACCACCAAUAGGCUUGGCAGGAGGCUGCCUGUUUACAGGAACAGUAGUCAGUCCACUUGCUUUGGCAAUGUUAACAUAUGUUUCCCAUGCCAAUAAAGCCCC
rnacentral:lncRNA from 1 species